rnacentral:rRNA from 1 species
GACAGAGGGUGCAAACGUUGUUCGGAAUUACUGGGCGUAAAGCGAGUGUAGGCGGUCUGAAAAGUCAGGUGUGAAAGCCCUGGGCUCAACCCAGGAAGUGCACUUGAAACUGCCAGGCUAGAGUAUCGGAGAGGUUGGUGGAAUUCUCGGUGUAGAGGUGAAAUUCGUAGAUAUCGAGAGGAACACCGGUGGCGAAGGCGGCCAACUGGACGAAUACUGACGCUGAGGAGCGAAAGCCAGGGGAGCAAACGGG